AGCAGCCGCGGUAAUUCCAGCUCCAAUAGCGUAUAUUAAAGUUGUUGCAGUUAAAAAGCUCGUAGUUGAACUUCGGGGUUUACCCAUUGGUCAGGCUUAAUUGUCUGUACUGGUGAGAUAAACCUCUACCUUCUGAGGAACUUUCAUGUCAUUAAUUUGGUGUGAUUGGAAAUCAGGACUGUUACUUUGAAAAAAUUAGAGUGUUUAAAGCAGGCUAACGUCUGAAUACAUUAGCAUGGAAUAAUGAAAUAGGACGGACUGAUUCUAUUUCGUUGGUUUCUAGGAUCACCGUAAUGAUUAAUAGGGAUAGUUGGGGCAUUAGUAUUCAAUUGUCAGAGGUGAAAUUCUUGGAUUUAUUGAAGACUAACUACUGCGAAAGCAUUUGCCAAGGAUGUUUUCAUUAAUCAAGAACGAAAGUUAGGGGAUCGAAGACGAUCAGAUACCGUCGUAGUCUUAACCAUAAACUAUGCCGACUAGGGAUCGGACGAAGUUAAUUUUAUAAUGACGCGUUCGGCACCUU
rnacentral:rRNA from 1 species